CCUACGGGAGGCAGCAGUAGGGAAUCUUCCGCAAUGGACGAAAGUCUGACGGAGCAACGCCGCGUGAGUGAUGAAGGUUUUCGGAUCGUAAAGCUCUGUUGUUAGGGAAGAACAAGUGCCGUUCAAAUAGGGCGGCACCUUGACGGUACCUAACCAGAAAGCCACGGCUAACUACGUGCCAGCAGCCGCGGUAAUACGUAGGUGGCAAGCGUUGUCCGGAAUUAUUGGGCGUAAAGGGCUCGCAGGCGGUUUCUUAAGUCUGAUGUGAAAGCCCCCGGCUCAACCGGGGAGGGUCAUUGGAAACUGGGGAACUUGAGUGCAGAAGAGGAGAGUGGAAUUCCACGUGUAGCGGUGAAAUGCGUAGAGAUGUGGAGGAACACCAGUGGCGAAGGCGACUCUCUGGUCUGUAACUGACGCUGAGGAGCGAAAGCGUGGGGAGCGAACAGGAUUAGAUACCC
rnacentral:rRNA from 1 species